GAUGAACGCUGGCGGCGUGCCUAAUACAUGCAAGUCGAGCGAACGGACGAGAAGCUUGCUUCUCUGAUGUUAGCGGCGGACGGGUGAGUAACACGUGGAUAACCUACCUAUAAGACUGGGAUAACUUCGGGAAACCGGAGCUAAUACCGGAUGAUAUUUUGAACCGCAUGGUUCAAAAGUGAAAGACGGUCUUGCUGUCACUUAUAGCUGGAUCCGCGCUGCAUUAGCUAGUUGGUAAGGUAACGGCUUACCAAGGCAACGAUGCAUAGCCGACCUGAGAGGGUGAUCGGCCACACUGGAACUGAGACACGGUCCAGACUCCUACGGGAGGCAGCAGUAGGGAAUCUUCCGCAAUGGGCGAAAGCCUGACGGAGCAACGCCGCGUGAGUGAUGAAGGUCUUCGGAUCGUAAAACUCUGUUAUUGGGGAAGAACAUAUGUGUAAGUAACUGUGCACAUCUUGACGGUACCUAAUCAGAAAGCCACGGCUAACUACGUG
rnacentral:rRNA from 1 species